rnacentral:rRNA from 1 species
AUUGAACGCUGGCGGCAUGCUUUACACAUGCAAGUCGAACGGCAGCGCGGGCUUCGGCCUGGCGGCGAGUGGCGAACGGGUGAGUAAUACAUCGGAACGUGCCCAGUAGUGGGGGAUAGCUCGGCGAAAGCCGGAUUAAUACCGCAUACGACCUGAGGGUGAAAGCGGGGGAUCUUCGGACCUCGCGCUAUUGGAGCGGCCGAUGGCAGAGUAGCUAGUUGGUGGGGUAAAGGCCUACCAAGGCGACGAUCUGUAGCUGGUCUGAGAGGACGACCAGCCACACUGGGACUGAGACACGGCCCAGGCUCCUACGGGAGGCAGCAGUGGGGAAUUUUGGACAAUGGGCGAAAGCCUGAUCCAGCAAUGCCGCGUGUGUGAUGAAGGCCUUCGGGUUGUAAAGCACUUUUGGCGGGAACGAAAAGGACUGUGCCAAUACCACGGUUCGAUGACGGUACCCGCAGAAUAAGCACCGGCUAACUACGUG